AGAGUUUGAUCCUGGCUCAGAACGAACGCUGGCGGCGUGGAUAAGACAUGCAAGUCGAGCGCUAAUUACAGGGUAGCAAUAUUCUGUAGUUGGAGCGGCGCAAGGGUGCGUAACACGUGGGCAAUCUGCCGUGAAGUUUGGGACAACUUGCUGAAAGGCGAGCUAAUACCGGAUGUGAAAAUUGGGAGGCAUCUUCUGAUUUUCAAAGUUGGGGACCGUAAGGCCUGACGCUUCAUGAUGAGCCCGCGGCCUAUCAGCUAGUUGGUGAGGUAACGGCUCACCAAGGCUAAGACGGGUAGCUGGUCUGAGAGGACGACCAGCCACACUGGAACUGAGACACGGUCCAGACACCUACGGGUGGCAGCAGUCGAGAAUUUUUCACAAUGGGCGCAAGCCUGAUGGAGCGACGCCGCGUGGGGGAUGAAUGGCUUCGGCCCGUAAACCCCUGUCAUUUGCGAUCAAACGUUAUUAUUUAAAAGAUGAUGACCUGAUAGUAGCGAAAGAGGAAGGGACGGCUAACUCUGUGCCAGCAGCCGCGGUAAUACAGAGGUCCCGAGCGUUGUUCGGAUUCACUGGGCGUAAAGGGUGCGUAGGUGGCGAGGUAAGUCGGAUGUGAAAGCUCGGAGCUCAACUCCGAAAUGGCAUUGGAAACUACCUUGCUCGAGGGUUGGAGGGGGGACUGGAAUACUUGGUGUAGCAGUGAAAUGCGUAGAUAUCAAGUGGAACACCAGUGGCGAAGGCGAGUCCCUGGACAACUCCUGACACUGAGGCACGAAAGCUAGGGGAGCAAACAGGAUUAGAUACCCCAGUAGUCC
rnacentral:rRNA from 1 species